rnacentral:tRNA from 1 species
GGGGCUGUAGCUCAGCUGGGAGAGCACCUGCUUUGCAAGCAGGGGGUCAGCG